UUCACUUCUCCACUUUGCUGCAUCUCUCUCAAAAAAUAGAGUUUGAUGUUGAAAUGUUUAGUCUUUCCAUGACACACUGAAUUGUUUGCAAUAGCAAUGGUUGUCUGAUUGUCAACAAAAAAUUUAGUUUUGUUUUUGUGUAUCAUAGACAUCUCUCGUUCCAUUGCAAUUUUCCAUGUUGGAUCUUUUAGUGCUUCCUCACAGCUAGCAGGUUCAUAAAUUGCUACAUUACAUCUUUGAUAGAUGUCGGACAACAACCCUUUUUCCUUUGAUUGGAAGGUCAUCUUUUAAUUCAUUCUGCAUAAGCUCUGUUGUUUGCUUUCCGGGAUUAUUGUCUCCACUGUUGAGGAAAAACCCAACUAUUUGCGAGUUGUUCCAAUCCCCAUUUCUGACCUUCAUUGAAGUGCCCAUCUCUAGUGACUAUCAUCUUUUUAGUUUGAGGAUCAUAGACUUUGUAGGCUUUUGAAACUAAACUGUAGCCCACAAAAAUGCCCAAAAUUGUUUUCUUGUCAAGUUUGUCAUGCUUAACUUGUGGAACAUGAGCAAAACAAACACACCCAAACACUUUAAGAAAGGUUAGUGAAGGCUUAAACUCAUACCAAGCCUCAAAUGGAGUUUUAUCAUCCAAAGCCUUGGUUGGAAGCCGAUUUUGCAUGAAAACAAUUGUAAUAGCUGUCUCUGCCCAAAAUGUUUUAGGCAGCUCCAUCUUAUGCAACAUGCACCUAGCCAUCUCCAUCACGGUUCUGUUUCUCCUUUCACUAACUCCAUUUUGCUCUAGAGUGUAUAGAGUUGUGAGUUGAUGUUCAAUGCCAGCUUCUUCACAUAAUUGAUUAAACUUUGCUUAAGUAUACUCUUUCCAAUUGUCUGAUCUUCGAAAUUGAAUAUUGCAGCCACUUUGGGUUUCUACCAUAUUCUUGAACUUCAUAAAUACUCCAGCCACUUUAUGCUUGAAUUUUAAGAAAAAAAAUCCAGCACAUUCUUGUAAAGUCAUCUAUGAAAUGAACAAAGUAGAGACUACCUUUUAGUGAUGGUGUUCUUUGAGGUCCUGCAACAUCAGUAUGAAUUAGCUGCAACUUUUGAGAGACUCUCCAAGCUGAUUUUGAGAAUGACUUUUUGAUUUGUUUACCAAAUUGACAAGCAUUACAAUUUGGUAAAUUAUCAGAAAAUUCUGGUAAGCCUUUUGCUAAGUCCUUUUUUUCAUAUCUAGCAUUCUUUCAAGAAGGAAAUGACCCAGUCUCUUGUGCCAGAGUUUUGUGGGACUGACUUGAGUGUAAUAAGCUGCAUAUUCCUCAUUUGUUGGAUCAAACGAGAAGCUUAUAUUUCUCAUUUUAACCCUUAGAACAUUCCGGUCAGCAAUGUCACAAAUAAGACAAUGUUUAUGCUCAAAGAACAAUUUAAAUCCCUUUUCAAGCAACUGACCUACACUUAGCAAGUUUUGGUCAAUUUCAAGUACAUAAAGAACAUCUGAGAUAAGUUUUGCACCUGAACUUGUUGAAAUUGAUAUAGUUCUUUUCCUUUUGCUUGAAUAUAAUCGCCGUUCCCAAUCUUGAUCUUCAGACAUCAAUAGGCUUCAAAUCCUUGAAAGCAGACUUGUCAUAUAUCAUGUGAUUUGUACAACCGCUAUCAAUCAACCAACACUCUGAAUUACUCGCCAUAGGAAAACACGUUGCAGCAAAAAUGUGAUCUUCUUCAUCUUGCUCCAUAACUUGGGCAUUGGCUUCAGGUUGCUGAAAUUUGCUUUUACAAAUUACAGCUUCGUGUCCAAGCUGAUUGCACUUACUGCACUUUGCAUCUAGUCUUCUCCAACACUUGAAUGGUGGGUGACCCAUUUUUUCCGCAAUGCUGACAAGGUGGGUAAUUUUUCUUUUUUCCCUUACCUUUGUUUUGGUUGUUUACACCAUUUUUGUUGCAUGAUGGCUGGUUCUUCUUGAAAUUUUUCUUUCUGCUGUUCCCAGAGUCAUGAUGCUUGGCUUGAAGUGCACCUUCAACCGCACGAUCUUCUCUCAUCAGCCUUCACUUUUCUUGGGCUUGCA
rnacentral:lncRNA from 1 species